rnacentral:rRNA from 1 species
CCUACGGGUGGCACCAUUAGGGAAUCUUCGGCAAUGGACGAAAGUCUGACCGAGCAACGCCGCGUGAGUGAAGAAGGUUUUCGGAUCGUAAAACUCUGUUGUUAGAGAAGAACAAGUAGGAGAGUAACUGCUCUUACCUUGACGGUAUCUAACCAGAAAGCCACGGCUAACUACGUGCCAGCAGCCGCGGUAAUACGUAGGUGGCAAGCGUUGUCCGGAUUUAUUGGGCGUAAAGCGAGCGCAGGCGGUCUUUUAAGUCUGAUGUGAAAGCCCUCGGCUCAACCGAGGAAGGUCAUUGGAAACUGGAGGACUUGAGUGCAGAAGAGGAGAGUGGAAUUCCAUGUGUAGCGGUGAAAUGCGUAGAUAUAUGGAAGAACACCAGUGGCGAGGGCGACUCUCUGGUCUGUAACUGACGCUGAGGUUCGGAAGCGUGGGGAGCAAACAGGAUUAGAUACCCCUGUAGUC